AGGUUAAGCUACAAAGAGCACACGGAGGAUGCCUAGGCGCCAGGAGCCGACGAAGGACGUGGCGAACAACGAUAAGGCCUCGGGGAGCUGUAAGCAAGCUUUGAUCCGGGGAUGUCCGAAUGGGGAAACCCGGCUGUCUUCAUCGACAGUCACUUUCUGCUGAAUACAUAGGCAGAAUAGAGGCAGACCAGGGGAACUGAAACAUCUAAGUACCCUGAGGAAGAGAAAACAAUAGUGAUUCCGUCAGUAGCGGCGAGCGAACGCGGAUUAGCCCAAACCAAGGAGCUUGCUCCUUGGGGUUGUGGGACGUCUCACAUGGAGUUACAAAGGAACCGGUUAGAUGAAGAGGUCUGGAAAGGCCCGCCAGAGAAGGUAAAAGCCCUGUAGUUCAAAACUUGUUCUCUCCGAGACGGAUCCCGAGUAGUGCGGGGCACGUGAAACCCCGUAUGAAUCCGGCAGGACCAUCUGCCAAGGCUAAAUACUCCCUGGCGACCGAUAGUGAAGCAGUACCGUGAGGGAAAGGUGAAAAGCACCCCGGAAGGGGAGUGAAAUAGAUCCUGAAACCGUGUGCUUACAAGAAGUCAGAGCCCGAUCUAUGGGUGAUGGCGUGCCUUUUGUAGAAUGAACCGGCGAGUUACGUUCCCGUGCAAGGUUAAGGUGAAGAGCUGAAGCCGCAGCGAAAGCGAGUCUGAAUAGGGCGACUUGAGUACGUGGACGUAGACCCGAAACCGGGUGAUCUACCCCUGUCCAGGGUGAAGGUGCGGUAACACGCACUGGAGGCCCGAACCCACGCAUGUUGAAAAAUGCGGGGAUGAGGUGGGGGUAGCGGAGAAAUUCCAAUCGAACCCGGAGAUAGCUGGUUCUCCCCGAAAUAGCUUUAGGGCUAGCCUCGGAAAAAAGAAUCGUGGAGGUAGAGCACUGAUUGGGUGCGGGGCCCGCAAGGGUUACCAAGCUCAGUCAAACUCCGAAUGCCAU
rnacentral:rRNA from 1 species